UACGUAGGGUGCGAGCGUUAAUCGGAAUUACUGGGCGUAAAGCGUGCGCAGGCGGUUUUGUAAGCCAGAUGUGAAAUCCCCGGGCUUAACCUGGGAAUGGCAUUUGGGACUGCAAGGCUUGAGUGCGGCAGAGGAGACUGGAAUUCCUGGUGUAGCAGUGAAAUGCGUAGAUAUCGGGAGGAACACCGGUGGCGAAGGCGGUUCUCUGGGCCUUACCUGACGCUGAGGAGCGAAAGCGUGGGGAGCAAACAGG
rnacentral:rRNA from 1 species